rnacentral:rRNA from 1 species
UUAUGCAUGCAGUCGAACGGUUCUUCGGAACCGUGGCGAACGGGUGAGUAACACGUAGGCACCUGCCCAGAAGUGGGGGACAACCCUCCUAACGGAGGACUAAUACCCCAUGUGAUCUUCGGAUCAAAGCCUUCGGGCGCUUCUGGAUGGGCCUGCGGCAGAUUAGCUUGUCGGUGAGGUAACGGCUCACCGAGGUUACGAUCUGUAGCUGGUCUGAGAGGACGAACAGCCACACAGGGACUGAGACACGGCCCUGACUCCUUAGGGGGGCAGCAGCAAAGAAAUUUGCGCAAUGGACGAAAGUCUGACGCAGUAACGUCGCGUGGGGGAUGAAGGCCUUCGGGUUGUAAACCCCUUUUAUGAGUGAAGAAGAUCUGACGGUAACUCAUGAAUAAGUCACGGCUAACUACGUGCCAGCAGCCGCGGUAAUACGUAGGUGGCAAACGUUGUCCGGAUUCACUGGGCGUAAAGCGCGCGCAGGCGGAUUGGUAAGUCGAUUAGGUGAAAUCUCCAGGCUCAACUUGGAGAGGCCCUGCGAUACUGCCAAUCUAGAGGCAUCUAGAGGAGAGUGGAAUUAACAGUGGAGGGGUGGAAUCCGUAGAUAUUGUUAGGAACACCAGUGGCGAAAGCGGCUCUCUGGGGAUGUACUGACGCUGAGGCGCGAAAGCGUGGGGAGCGAACGGGAUUAGAUACCCCGGUAGUCCACGCCGUAAACGAUGAUCACUAGGUGUUUGGGGUAUCGAUCCCUUGAGUACCGAAGCUAACGCGAUAAGUGAUCCGCCUGGGAACUACGGUCGCAAGACUAAAACUCAAAGGAAUUGACGGGGGCCCGCACAAGCAGCGGAGCGUGCGGUUUAAUUCGAAGAUACGCGAAGAACCUUACCAGGCUUGACAUGGCGCUGACCGACUACGAAGUAGUUUUCCCUUCGGGCGGCGUCACAGUGCUGCAUGGUUGUCGUCAGCUCGUGCCGUGAGUGUUGGGUUAAGUCCCGCACGAGC